UUGACUUUUGGCAAAUUUCUUUGUGGUUCUCUCAGUAAGAAUGUUUGGGAUUGUAGAAGAAGAAUUUUUAAUUUUUCUAUGUUCUAAAUGCCAUACAGAUGAAUGUACAUAUAAUAUGUUUAUUCCCAUUCGCAACAUAUAUGAGAAUGUGAUGCGUCUCUUUGGAGACAUCUUCUUAGAGGGGUGCUUUGCUCUCUGGUGUUCUUUCAUCACUUCAGACUUCAUUUGAAAAUAUGAGUCUGUUGAUAUAAAAAAUAAUGAAUUAAUUAAAUCCGAAAUUAAUUAAAAAUAAUUAAUUAAAUAAUUUAAUUAUUUGAGCCUGAGCCCUAAGGCCCAUCUUUUUUUUUAUCAAUUAAUUAGUACACCUAAAAACCUAUCCCUAAGAUUGAACCCAAUUUUAUUCUUCAUGGUCCAUCACUUCAACCACUUUCUUUAAGGGACAAAGCCUUAUAAAGUGAGGGAAUCUUUUGGUAAUGACAAUGUGGGACAAUGAAAUUUCUACUCAAAAUUUACAAUAUCUCUUAGAGAGUGGAUUUUGAGUUUUUUUUUUUUUUUUUCCCUUCUUCUUGAACCAGCUCUGCGACAGUGCCAGAAAUUUGUACACCUUAACAAUUGGGCGUUUGUACAAGGAAGGGAGUGAUAUUCCAGGGAAUGGUUAUGUUCCCUCUGUUAUGUUUAGGCUAUGCUGCUCAUCAAUUAAACUUUGCAUGCUUACUACGAAAUGAAAGUGGUUAGGCUAUUAAGACACCUAUUGUCUUCUUCUUCUUCUUCCAAAAAAAAAAAAAAAAAAAAAAAAAAAAGAAAGAAAGACACCUAUUGUCAUUUCUUGCGCACACACAUACUUAGAUGGUUCAUCAAUAAGAAAAUACUAAGAGAUAAAUCAAUAAAAAUUAUUGGAAAGAUUGUUAGCUUGAAAUGCCUGUCCACAUCCAAGGCAGCGAUAAAAUUUGUUAGCUUAGGCCAUCUCCAACCGAAGGGUUCAGAGGGCCGAAAAUAGCCUAAAACCGUCUCCAACCGAGGGCUAGGCCAGAGGGCUCUGGAAUCUGGGAGGGCCC
rnacentral:lncRNA from 1 species